GAAUUAGCAACUUGAUCUCUGAACUUCAGGUAAGUUCACGUGGACACUAUAUCAAUCCUGAUGCA
rfam:Triticum urartu cultivar G1812 contig557238, whole genome shotgun sequence.